GACGAACGCUGGCGGCGUGCCUAAUACAUGCAAGUUGAGCGCUGAAGGUUGGUACUUGUACCAACUGGAUGAGCAGCGAACGGGUGAGUAACGCGUGGGGAAUCUGCCUUUGAGCGGGGGACAACAUUUGGAAACGAAUGCUAAUACCGCAUAAAAACUUUAAACACAAGUUUUAAGUUUGAAAGAUGCAAUUGCAUCACUCAAAGAUGAUCCCGCGUUGUAUUAGCUAGUUGGUGAGGUAAAGGCUCACCAAGGCGAUGAUACAUAGCCGACCUGAGAGGGUGAUCGGCCACAUUGGGACUGAGACACGGCCCAAACUCCUACGGGAGGCAGCAGUAGGGAAGCUUCGGCAAUGGACGAAAGUCUGACCGAGCAACGCCGCGUGAGUGAAGAAGGGUUUCGGAUCGUAAAACUCUGUUGGUAGAGAAGAACGUUGGUGAGAGUGGAAAGCUCAUCAAGUGACGGUAACUACCCAGAAAGGGACGGCUAACUACGUG
rnacentral:rRNA from 1 species